CAGGCUUCUCAGGACACAACUGAAGGGGAGAGGCUGCUUCCUACCAAAAGAUGAGGAAACUGAGAAAGAUUUGUGAGGCAAAAGUUUGGGUGAAGAAGACAGAAAACACUUGGUGGCAGAGGUGAUAUCUGAGGAUGGAAGAGAUUCUGCAUGUUCCUAAUACCAGCAUAGGAACUAAGAAAACAGGAAAUAUUUGCUGAAUGAAUAAAAACUGAGAGAAAAGGGCCAGUAAAGAGGAGAGAAUGAAGAUGUAGGAAAGAGAGGAGACAUAGUACAGAGCAUGGCUACUAGGAUGAACAAAAGCUGGAAGACACAGGACAGGUGGAGAAUUAGUCCAAACCAGCACUGUGCAAUUGAAAUAUAACACAACCCAUGGGUGUAAUUUAAA